AUGGCUCCUACCGAGGCUAAGGCUGAUGUAGAGGAGGGAGAGGAGAAGAAGAACAAGAAGGAAAGGAAAGCAGCCGGAGCUGCUUUCACGUGGAUUCAAAGGAACUUUGCGCAUUGCCCUGCGGAUGCCACUGAUGAUGUGAUCCAGACAGAUGCUCGUGUCUAUAUGUGGUACGUUGUCUCGAGGACUUUGUUUCCCGACUCCACAGGCAAGAACGCUCCAUGGAUGAGGACUUUGUUUCCUGACUCCACAGGCAAGAACGCUCCAUGGAUGUGGCUUAAGGCGUUGACCAUCUUCGAUAGAAGAUGGUGCUGGGGUUCAGCGACUCUUGCCUACUUGUACCGACAGGUAGUUGGUUUUUUUUGUUAUCAACUCAUUUCUUCAUUAGCAAUGCAACCUUGCUGUCAAGUUAACGUUGUUUUCUUUCAUAUGCAGCUGGACGAUGCGUGUUGCGGGAUCACAGAUAGUGCAUGCAUUGGUGGUAAUCUGCUUCUACUUUCUGUAUGGAGCUGGGAGCGUUGCCUGUUGGACGCCCGAAGAGAGUCAAGUUUAAUCCUUGGGAUGAAGAUGACGAAUUACGACGCCCCACUUGGGCUUACAAGUGGGAUGUGGUAUCCGAGAUGA
rnacentral:rRNA from 1 species